AUUGAACGCUGGCGGCAGGCCUAACACAUGCAAGUCGAGCGGUAGAGAGAAGCUUGCUUCUCUUGAGAGCGGCGGACGGGUGAGUAAUGCCUAGGAAUCUGCCUAGUGGUGGGGGAUAACGUUCGGAAACGGACGCUAAUACCGCAUACGUCCUAGGGGAGAAAGCGGGGGAUCGUCGGACCUCGCGCCCUUAGAUGAGCCUAGGUCGGAGUAGCUUGUUGGUGUGGUAAUGGCGCACCAAGGCGACGAUCCGUAACUGGUCUGAGAGGAUGAUCAGUCACACUGGACCUGAGACACGGUCCAGACUCCUACGGGAGGCAGCAGUGGGGAAUAUUGGACAAUGGGCGAAAGCCUGAUCCAGCCAUGCCGCGUGUGUGAAGAAGGUCUUCGGAUUGUAAAGCACUUUAAGUUGGGAGGAAGUGCAGUAACCUAAUACGUUAUUGUUUUGACGUUACCGACAGAAUAAGCACCGGCUAACUUCGUGCCAGCCGCCGCAGUAACAC
rnacentral:rRNA from 1 species